rnacentral:rRNA from 1 species
UACGAAGGGGGCUAGCGUUGCUCGGAAUUACUGGGCGUAAAGGGCGCGUAGGCGGAUGCUUAAGUCAGAGGUGAAAGCCCAGGGCUCAACCUUGGAACUGCCUUUGAUACUGGGCAUCUUGAGUAUGGGAGAGGUGAGUGGAACUCCGAGUGUAGAGGUGAAAUUCGUAGAUAUUCGGAAGAACACCAGUGGCGAAGGCGACUCACUGGCCCAUUACUGACGCUGAGGCGCGAAAGCGUGGGGAG